CGUGAUCAUCCAAGGAUGCUGCGUGCUGUCGUUGUGGCCAGGGUUUGGGCGUCUGCGGAAGAUUUUAGGAUCAUGACAGCUAACACUGGCCCGAUUCAUCUCUGUGCUCCGCAAUCACUUUUUCGUCAAUAUACCUAAACUCUUCCGUCUCUGAUCAAGGAUAACAGCGAUCGUCGCGAAAACUCCUGAUGGCUGUGCAGACGGUGAUGUUUGGUGAUGGUGCUUCCACAAUGCCGUUAGAUUUCAAUCAUUUCGCUGGAGCAUUUACAGUCAUAGGGAUGUACAACAUGGAAACAGACACUUCAGUCCAACUCGUCCACACUGACCAGAUCUUUCUGUACAGGCACCUCUGUGUGCAUGAAAUGAAAUUGCCCUUUCGAAGCAUUUUACGUCUUUCUCCUCUCAUGUUAAACCUAUUCUGUCAAGUUUUGUAUUCCCCUUCUGUGGAAUAAUAAAGACCUUGAGCUCUCAUCUCUA